GUGCCAGCCGCCGCGGUAAUACCGGCAGCCCGAGUGAUGGCCGCUGUUAUUGGGCCUAAAGCGUCCGUAGCUGGCCGCACAAGUCCGUCGGGAAAUCCGCCCGCUCAACGGGCGGCCGUCCGGCGGAACCUGUGUGGCUUGGGACCGGGAGGCCUGAGGGGUACGAUCGGGGUAGGAGUGAAAUCCUGUAAUCCCGCUCGGACCGCCGAUGGGGAAACCACUUCGAGAAAACGGAUCCGACAGUGAGGGACGAAAGCCAGGGUCUCCAACCGGAUUAGAUACCCCAGUAGUCC
rnacentral:rRNA from 1 species